rnacentral:rRNA from 1 species
UACGUAGGGGGCAAGCGUUGUCCGGAAUCAUUGGGCGUAAAGCGCACGUAGGCGGCUUCUUAAGUCGGAGGUGAAAUCCUGGAGCUCAACUCCAGAACUGCCUUCGAUACUGGGAAGCUCGAGUCCGGGAGAGGUGAGUGGAACUGCGAGUGUAGAGGUGAAAUUCGUAGAUAUUCGCAAGAACACCAGUGGCGAAGGCGGCUCACUGGCCCGGUACUGACGCUGAGGUGCGAAAGCGUGGGGAGCAAACAGG